rnacentral:tRNA from 1 species
GCUUAUAUAGUUUAUAAAAAUAUUAAUUUGUGGAGUUAAAGUUAGAUKAUCUUUUARGCA